GGAUCAAGGGAUCGGUCAUGCCUUGGUAUGUACUGGUUUUAUUGGUUCUCACCUUCUAAAGAACCAUGAUGUCAUUCAUUUGAUGUUAUGGGGAAUUAGGACUGUUACCUUGAAAAAAUUAGAGUGUUUAAAGCAAGCUUACGCUUGAAUACAUUAGCAUGGAAUAAUGAAAUAGGACAUCAGAUUCUAUUUUGUUGGUUUCUAGGAUCGAUGUA
rnacentral:rRNA from 1 species